GACGAACGCUGGCGGCGUGCUUAACACAUGCAAGUCGAACGGAAAGGCCCUGCUUUUGUGGGGUGCUCGAGUGGCGAACGGGUGAGUAACACGUGAGUAACCUGCCCUUGACUUUGGGAUAACUUCAGGAAACUGGGGCUAAUACCGGAUAGGAGCUCCUGCUGCAUGGUGGGGGUUGGAAAGUUUCGGCGGUUGGGGAUGGACUCGCGGCUUAUCGGCUUGUUGGUGGGGUAGUGGCUUACCAAGGCUUUGACGGGUAGCCGGCCUGAGAGGGUGACCGGGCACAAGGGGACUGCGAUACGGCCCAGACUGCUACGGGAGGCAGCAGUGGGGAAUAUUGCACAGUGGGCGGAAGCCUGAUGCAGCAAUGCCGCGUGCGGGAUGACGGCCUUCGGGUUGUAAACCGCUUUGGCCUGUGACGAAACGUGAGUGACGGUAAUGGGUAAAGAAGCACCGGCUAACUACGUG
rnacentral:rRNA from 1 species